GCUAAACGCGAAGAACCUUACCAAGGCUUGACAUGGAUUUCUAAGCACGUGAAAGCGUGUGACCCUUCGGGGGACUUCCACAGGUGCUGCAUGGCCGUCGUCAGCUCGUGUCGUGAGAUGUUGGGUUAAGUCCCGCAACGAGCGCAACCCCUGUGAAUGUUGCCAGCACGUUAUGGUGGGGACUCUGUUCAGACUGCCCAGAUCAACUGGGAGGAAGGUGGGGACGACGUCAGGUCAGUAUGGCCUUACGCCUUGGGCUGCACACGUACUACAAUGCCCAGCACAAUGAGAACCGAGACCGCGAGGUGGAGGAAAUCUACAAAAACUGGGGCCCACGUUCGGAUUGGAGGCUGCAACUCGCCUCCAUGAAGCCGGAAUCGCUAGUAAUGCUGCAUCAGCUACGGCAGCGUGAAUACGUUCCCGGGUCUUGUACACACCG
rnacentral:rRNA from 1 species